GUUAAAAAGCUCGUAGUUGGAUUUCUGUUGCGAAAGUCCGGUCCACCUUCCGGGUGAGCAUCUGGUUCUGUCGCGGCAUCCUCUUGUUGUGAGCGUUCGUGCUUGAUUGCAUGUCGUUUGCUGCAAGACUUUUACUUUGAGGAAAUUAGAGUGUUCACGGCAGGCGUUAGCCUUGAAUAUAUUAGCAUGGAAUAAUUCUAUAGGAUCUUGGUUCUAUUUUGUUGGUUUCUAGAGCUAAGAUAAUGAUUAAUAGGG
rnacentral:rRNA from 1 species